AGAUUGAACGCUGGCGGCAGGCCUAACACAUGCAAGUCGAGCGGUAGAGAGGUGCUUGCACCUCUUGAGAGCGGCGGACGGGUGAGUAAUGCCUAGGAAUCUGCCUAGUGGUGGGGGAUAACGUUCGGAAACGGACGCUAACACCGCAUACGUCCUACGGGAGAAAGCGGGGGACCUUCGGGCCUCGCGCCAUUAGAUGAGCCUAGGUCGGAUUAGCUAGUUGGUGAGGUAAUGGCUCACCAAGGCGACGAUCCGUAACUGGUCUGAGAGGAUGAUCAGUCACACUGGAACUGAGACACGGUCCAGACUCCUACGGGAGGCAGCAGUGGGAAUAUUGGACAAUGGGCGCAAGCCUGAUCCAGCCAUACCGCGUGGGUGAAGAAGGCCUUCGGGUUGUAAAGCCCUUUUAGUGGAAAGUAAAGUCCUAGCCGGUUAAUAACCGAGUAGGAUGACGUACCAAAGAAUAAGCACCGCUAACUCGUGCCAGCAGCCGCGUAA
rnacentral:rRNA from 1 species